UGCACUUAGCGUCCGUUUAUUCCUCUAUGAGGAAGUGAAUUUCAAUUUGGAAUGCAGAUCGAUUCAAAUAUCAUAUUUAUGUAACAAUAUACCGCGGAAGAGUUUGUAUAAUGGAGCCAAAUCCAGUCACGCGGGGCCAGAGAGGGUCAGAACUGGCAAUGGGUGCAUUCGAAGGAGAAAAGCGGUUACCGAUGAGUUGCGAACAUGUUGCGAUUUUCUGCUGAAUGGACUGUUCAGUGAUCAUAAUAUGGCGGCAUCCAGUAUUGUGUAAUCUAACCUCCUUAUACUUGGCACUUCGCCUAGAUGGCCGAUCCUCUGAGCAACACCUAGAAGAAGUAAAAUAGGUGCUGGACCCCGGCUACGGAUACUGCCUUUCAUCGCCUCCAAGAGCCCUUAAGGUGAAGUGAAACCCCCUUCAAAUCAGUCGAUUCGAAUACAUUUGCUAUGCGAAUACCAAGUCCAAUCCUGUUGAACAACGGUACAUUGCCACCGAUUCCUUUCCCCAGGCACCGUCAAGGCAAGCAGUGCUCGCAGCAACACCAGACCGAUCGAAGGACCAUCGACAGCAGUACUGCAGGGAUUUUUAAGUUUUAAAACACUGGUAAUAAUUAAACGUUCUACAAUUUUGCUGAAA